rnacentral:lncRNA from 1 species
CUUUUGGAAAAUCAUCCUUGCUAGUAAUUUCUUUUUUAUUUACAGAAUAUCCAGAAGAAGGGGAAAGUUUGUGAAGGAAAAAAAAGAAUAUUGCAACUCACUGCUAGAGGCGUUAAUACGACGCUAACGAACCGUAGCCUUUCCAGAGCAUAGCUGGCAACAUUAGCACCCAUCUGUGCUGAGUGGGAUGUGCAAGCAGAAGCCAGGGCCGAGCAGCCUCCACCUGUUUGCAGAAAGUCCUGUGUUGUGUGGAGGCGUGCAGCAAUCUGGUCUGGAUGGAGAAAAUACCUCAGAAAACCCAAGAGGAAUGUUUACUUUGAAAGUUUCUCUCAUGAAAUUGUUUUAUCUUUCUAAUUAAAAAA